UUUUUUUUUUUUUUAAGGGAAGUUAAAAGAGAAACAUUUUGAUGCUCCUCCCCCCAGGUACUCCAGGGGACCUUGUCCAGCUUCUUUCCCCACCCCUUCUAUACCCCCUGCCAGGAAGCAUCUUCACCUAGUAUCACUGUCAGGGAUACGUUGAGGAACACUGAGCUAAACAAAAACUUGUUGGUACAGUCUUCCAUUGCCUACAGCCAGAGCCAUGACACCAGCAAGAGCUGUGAACAUUAACUGCAUCUCGCUGUAGAAACAGGCAUCACGAGCCUGAAAAAUGUUUCCCAAAGUCAAGCAUUUGUCAGCAAAAGUCCAUUAAUGUAUGACUUAGAGAACUUAUGUCAAGUGUAUUUCCUACUUGAUGUUUUAUGGUGAAUUAUUGGUAAGAAGAACAUAAUAACACAGUACAAAUAUAUGCCCAGAACAGGUGCUUUUUAAAUACCUAUUUUUGAUAUGUUAAGUGUUAGCACAGAACCCGGCACAAAAGAGCGAAUUGCUGUUUUCUUUCUCUUCCCUUAGAGAUAACAGCAGUAAGUAGACGAAAACCAAAGAUAGUAGUCGUCAGUUCCAUGUCCACUUUGGACGGGAAAUAACAUUUUAAAUUUCUAUGUGUUAUCAGCAGUCGCUAUGAUAAAAUGCUAGCAUACGCUCUCAUAAAUCAUCUAAUCUAACUCUCUCCUCUUAUAGGCGAAGAACCUGAAGCCUCAAAAGUUUAAUUUGCUCAAUUCCCUUAGAGCUCAGUAGAGGAAGUACAGGCCUGCCACUCCAGAGCAGGGUCCUUUCCACUCUACCCCCACAAAGCGCAGUCAGGAAGCUGUCCGUCUGAGCAGAGCUGGACUUCCUUGAAACAGCCCCACUGUUUGUAGCCGAGGAAUUCAAGCUUCAUUACAUGGAGGAUAUCACCGGAGCCCUGGCGGCCCAGUGGUUAAGAGCUCUGCUGCUAACCAGAAGGUUGACGGUUCGAAUCCACCAGCUGCUCCUUGGAAACCCUAUGGGGCAGUUUUGCUCUGUCCUACAGGGUUGCUAUAGUGUCCACUCCUUUCCUUUGUAAUGCCUACAGAAACCACAUAUACAGUAGGCAUUCAACAAAUGUUUAUAGAAGGAAUGCACACUGAGUUCUAGGUACAUCCCUAAUCACUGCAGCAGUAACUCACAAAGCAAGGGAGAUUAAUCCAAAUGCCAAUAUUUUUAGAUACAGAAAUAUUUUCAAACGAAUACAUUAGCACAAACAUAACUGAUAAUUAGAUGGAAAUCCAGUUGCUCAAAAAGGAAUUAAGAUUUAUUCUUGAUGAGCAUUUAAUGUGUUGUUCAUUAUUGAUUUUUUUUAGUUAAAUUUUUUUAUGAGUACUAAAUAAAUUUAGACCACCCAUCAUCAAUUCUGAUUUUAUUGUGUUGCAAAAGUAUUAAAUCAUUUGUUCCCUUUCAUCAAAACUAUCUCCCCAAACCAUAGUUUUACUCUUUUAUUAAAAGUAUGACUCUAACAUGUUUAUAUGAUUUCUCACAAUGGUCAACCAAAUGUUAAUGAAGAGAGUCAUAGAAACCUUAACUAAGCACUAAAGAGAUUUCCUUGUUUUCCUUUGUAGCUAGGAGUUAAGCCACAAUUUCUGCAGUGUAUGGUUUGGCAACAAGUUUGUUCCAUAUAUGCCUUUAAAUGAAGGCUGUGUAUUUGCCUGGCUCUGCCCUAGCUCUCUGUCCUCUUGUUUGUUGUGCCUUUUGGUGCGUGCAACCGCUGCAGUGCGCAGAACUUGUUUCAUCUCAGUAGCCACGUCUCUGCUCCUUACUGUCAUCAGAAUACUGUAAGUCAUUCCUAUUAAGGAUCAACACAGCUAAAACUAUGUUAAUGCCAUUAGAGAGAGACCAUACUCAAUUCAAAAUUUUACAAUUGGAAAUUGUAUAACUUUAUGUGAAGGAUGUAUAGGUUAUGUUUAAAACCAAACCCUCUGGCAAUUAUUAUGGCAAGUCCAAGUCUCUUAUUCAGAGAGGCAACUGCGUAGUAAGCAUUAUAGCUUUAUAUACCAUUAGGCUGCUUUAAGAGCGGUACCUUCAGGAGAUAGCGUGAUCAGGUUUUAGAGUCAGACCAAGUUGAGAUACAGGUUUCUUAUUUAUUGUAUUAUCUGGGAUAUGUCACUCGCUUUGAACCUCAGUUUCCUCUUGUGCAAAAUGGUCAAAAUAUCUGCCUGUCUGGACUGUAGGGAGAAGUAAAUGAGAUAGCAUGUGCAAACUCCCCAGUACAGAGCCCACCAUGUGGCUGGCAUGCUCUGUCUCUUCCCCUAGUCUGCCAAAUGCUACACUAGGUUUGCUCUUUAAUUUUUGUUUCUUUCUUAAUGCAGGGCCAGGAAUAGGAUGAGACAAGUGAGGCACUCCACUCGGGCAUAAAAUUUAAGGGAGUGCAAAAAAUGUAACCAAGAUAGAUAAUAUAUUAAUGUAUUUUUUUUACCUUUUUUUUAUAAUUUUUAUUGUGCUUUAAGUGAAAGUUUACAAAUCAAGUCAGUCUCUCACACAAAAACCCAUAUACACCUUGCUACACACUCCCAAUUACUCUCCCCCUAAUGAGACAGCACGCUCUCUCCCUCCACUCUCUCUUUUCGUGUCCAUUUCGCCAGCUUCUAGUCGCCUCCACCCUCCCAUCUCCCCUCCUGGCAGGAGAUGCCAACAUAGUCUCAAGGGUCCACCUGAUCCAAGAAGCUCACUCCUCACCAGCAUCCCUCUCCAACCCAUUGUCCAGUCUAAUCCAUGUCUGAAGAGUUGGCUUCGGGAAGUGUUCCUGUCCUGGGCCAACAGAAGGCCUGGGGGCCAUGACCACCGGGGUCCUUCUAGUCUCAGUCAGACCAUUAAGUCUGGUCUUAUGAGAAUUUGGGGUCUGCAUCCCACUGCUCUCCUGCUCCCUCAGGGGAUCUCUGUUGUGUUCCUGUCAGGGUAGUCAUUGGUUGUAGCCGGGCACCAUCUAGUUCUUCUGGUCUCAGGAUGAUGUAGUCUCUGGUUCAUGUGGCCCUUUCUGUCUCUUGGGCUCAUAAUCACCUUGUGUCCUUGGUGUUCUUCAUUCUCCUUUGAUCCAGGUGGGUUGAGACCAAUUGAUGCAUCUUAGAUGGCUGCUUGCUAGCAUUUAAGACCCCAGAUGCCACUCUUCAAAGUGGGAUGCCGAAUGUUUUCUUAAUAGAUUUUUAUUAAUGUAUUUUUUUAAUUGUACUUUAGAUGAAGGUUUACAGAACUAGUUUCUCAUUAAACAAUUAGAACACAUAUUGUUUUAUGACAUUGGUUAACAACCCCACGACAUGUCAACAUUCUCCCCUUCUCGACCUUGGGUUCCCUAUGACCAGCUUUUCUGUCCCCUCCUGCCUUCUCAUCCUUGCCCCUGGACUGGUGUGUCCCUUUAGUCUUGUUUUGUCUUAUGGGCCUGCUUAAUCUUUGGCUGAAGGGUGAACCUCAAGAGUGACUUCAUUACUGAGUUGAAAGGGUGUCCAGGGGCCAUACUCCCAGGGUUUCUCCAGUCUCUGUCAGGCCAGCAAGUCUGGUCUUUCUUUUUGAGUUAGAGUUUUGUUCUAUAUUUUUCUCGAGCUCUGUCCAGGACCCUCUAUUUUACUCCCUGUCAGAGCAGUGAGUGAUGGUAGCCGAACACCAUCUAGUUGUGCUGGACUCAGUCUGGUGGAGGCCAUGGUAGAUGUGGUCCAUUAGUCCUUUGGACUAAUCUUUCCCUUACAUCUUUAGUUUUCUUCAUUAUUCCUUUCUCUUGAAGGGGUGAGACCAGUGGAGUACCCUAGAUGGCUGCUCACAGGCUGUCAUGGAUUGAAUUGUGUCUCCCAAAAAAUAUGUGUCAACUUGGUUAGACCAUGUGUGGUUAUCCUCCAUUUUGUGAUUUUCCCAUAAUCAUAAUCUCUGCCUGUGGUUAAAGAGAAUUAGGGUGGGAUGUAACACCCUUGUUCAGGCCACAUUCUUGAUCCAAUGUAAAAGGAAAGGGAAGCAAGCAGAGAGUUGGGGACCUCAUACCACCAAGAAAACAGCACCAGGAGCAGAGCGCAUCCUUUGGACACAGGGUCCCUGUACUUGAGAAGCUCCUUGACCAGGGGAAGACUGAAGACAAGGACCUUCCUCCAGAGCUGACAGUAAGAGAAAGCCUUCCCCUGGAGCCAGUGCCCUGAAUUUGGGCUUGUAACCUACUAGACUGUGAGAAAAUAGAUUUCCCUUUGUUAAAGCCAUCCAGUUGUGGUAUUUCUGUUAUGGCAGUACUAGAUGGCUAAGCCACAGGCUUUUAAGACCCCAGACUCUACUCACGAAAGUAAAAUGUAGAACAUUUUCUUCAUAAAGUAUGUUAUGCAAGUUGAGCUAGAUGUUCCCUGAGACCAUGGUACCCACAGCCCUCAGCCCAGCAAUUCCGUCCCUCAGGGAGUUUGGAUGUGUCUAUGGAGCUUCCAUGACCUUGCUCUGUACAAGUUGUGCUGGCUUCCCCAGUGUUGUGUACUGUCUUACCCUACACCAAAGUUAGCACUUAUCUAUUGCCUAUUUAGUGUUUUUCUAUCCUUACCCCCGCCCUCCCUCAUAACCAUCAAAGAUUGUUUCUUUUUGUAUGCAAACCUUUUCAUGAGCUUUUACGGUAGUGGUCUCAUACAAUAUUUGUCCUUUUGUGAUUGACUUACUUCACUCAGCAUAAUGCCCUCCAGAUUCAUCCAUGUUAUGAGAUGCUUUACAGAUUCAUCGUUGUUCUUCAUCGUUGUGUAAUACUCCGUUGUGUGUAUAUACCACAAUUUGUUUAUCCAUUCAUCUGUUGAUGGGCAUCUAGGUUGUGUCCAUCUUUUUGCUAUUGUGAACAUGCAGUGCUGCAGUGAACAUGGGUGUGUACAUGUCUAUUCAUGUGACGACUCUUAAUUUCUUUAGGAUAUAGUCCUAGGAGUAGAAUUGCUGGAUCAUAUGGUAUUUCUAUUUCUAGCUUUCCAAGGAAGCACCGUAUCAUUUUCCAAAAUGGUUGUAUCGUUUUGCAUUCCCACCAGCAGUGCAUAAGAGUUCUGAUCUCCCCACAGCCUCCCCAACAUUUGUUAUUUCCUGUUUUAUUAAUUUCUGCCAGUAAUGCUGAGUGAGAUUGUGUCUUGUUGUGGUUUUGAUUUGCGUUUCUCUGGUGGCUAGUGAUCGCAAGCAUUUCUUCAUGUGUCUUUUGGACACUUGAAUGUCUUCUUUGGUGAAGUAUCUGUUCAUUUCCUUUGCCUAUUUCUUAACUGGAUUAUUUGUCUUUUUGUUGUAGAAGUGUUGGAUUUUCUUGUAGAUUUUAGAGAUUAGACCUUCAUCUGAUUUGUGAUAGCCAAAGAUUUUUUCCCAAUUUAUAGGUUCUCUUUUUACUCUUUUGGUGAAGUCUUUUGAGGAGCAUAAGUGUUUAAUUUUUAGAAGAUCACAGUUAACUAGCUUAUCUUCUGGAGUUUGUGUGUUGUUGGUUGUGGGUUGUGGUUUGUAUCCUGCUAAUGCUGUGUAUUAGGGCGUCUAGUGUUGAUCCUAUUUCUUCUUCUAUGAACUUCAUGGUUUUGGGCUUUAUUAUAUUUAGGUCUUUGAUUCAUUUUGAGUUAGUUUUUGUAUAUGGUGUGAGGUAUGGGUCCUGUUUCAUUUUUUUGCAGAUGGACAUCCAGUUUUGCCAGCACCAUUUCUUAAAAAGUCUGUCUUUUCCCCCACUUGAUGGGCUUUGGGCUCUUGUUGAAGAUCAGGUGACCAUAGGUGGAUGGAUUUACAUCUGGGUUCUCAAUUCUGUUCUAUUGAUCAGUGUAUCUGUCCUUGUACCAGUACCAGGCUGUUUUGACUACUAUAGCUGUAUAGUAGGUUCUGAGAUCAGGUAGUGCAAGUCCUCCUACUUUAUUCUUCUUCUUCAGUAGUGCUUUACUUAUCCAGGGCUUCUUCCCUUUCCAUAUAAAGUUAAUGAUAAGUUUUUCCAUCUCUUUAAAGAAUGUUGUUGGUAUUUGGAUCAGAAUGCAUUGUAUUUUUAAAUUGCUUUGGAUAGAAUUGUCAUUUUCACAGUGUUGAGUCUACCUAUCCAUGGGCAUGGUAUGUUUUUCCAUUUAUGUAGAUCUCUUUUGGUUUCUUGCAGUAGUGUUUUGUAGUUUUCUUUGAAUAAGUCCAUUACAUCCCUGGUUAGAUUUAUUCCUAAGUAUUUUUUUUUUUAGGGGCUGUUAUAAAUGGUAUUGUUUUCAUGAUUUCCUUUUCAUCGUUCUGUUUAUUGGUGUAUAGGAAUCCAACUGAUUUUUGUGUAUUUAUCUUUUAUCUUGCUACUCUGCUGAAUUUUUCUCUUAGUUCCAGUAGUUUUCUUGUGGAGUCUUUUGGGUUUUCUAUGUGUAGUAUCAUGUCACCCGCAAAUAGGGGCAGUUUAACUUCUUCUAAGUGUAAUAUUUUAAAAAAUAAAAAUUAGUAAAAAAAUUCAUGAUGGACAAAAUUUUAAAUAAAGACAGGAUCAGUAUUACUGAUGUUUCUUUUUGCUUAAGGCUUCAAUGUGGCUCAAAACAGCACUGUCUUUAUGUAUGCUUCCAGAAUAGGUUAACUUACGAAUUAAUGUAGCAUCCUUUAAACACAUAUUCUCAGUUUUUUUUUUUUAAUUAACAUAGACUAAUGAACCUACUCAUUUUCAGUUUAUUUUACAUACCCCACUGAUAUUCAGAAAACACAGGUACAAUAUGGCAUUUGAAGUGUUUCAGUUUUUUAAAAAAAUAUAAUGAUCUCUCUAACUUCUGUAAAAUUGUUUAAAAAAAAAAAAUUCUGCAGCUGCUCUCCUCUAUCCCUUAAAGAUGACUUUUAAAGUUUUUUAUAUUGAAAUAAUUUUAGACUUACAGAAAAAUUGCAAGAAUAGUGUAAAUAAUUCCCAUAUAUACAUCCUUCACCCAGGUGCCCCAAAUGCUAACAUUUUACUGUAUUUGCUUUAUCAUUCUUGUUCUCUGUCUCACCUUCUCUCUCACUCUCUUCUCAGUCUGUGUGUGUAUGUAUGCAUUUGUGUAUACAAACGCAGAGAUACAUUUGUAUGUGUGUGUAUAAUUGUUUUCUGGACUCUUUAAGAGUAAGUUGCAGGCAUAAUACCCCUUUACUCCUAAAUACUUAAAUGUGUAUUUCCUAAACACAAGGACAUUCUCUUCUAUAACUACAUAUAAUUAUGAAAAUCAAGAAAUUAACAUUGAUACAAUACUAUUUCCUAAGAGUUCUCUCAGCGUGAGAAAGUGUGUCUUUCCUGACAAAUGCGUAUGCCUUUUUUAUUAGCUACAGAGAGUUAUGGAAGCCACCUCAUUUUCUUUUCUGCUUUCAUUUCUAGUAAGGUCACAGUGGGUUUUGUACACAAUUAUAAUAGCUUCCCGUAGUCUGUAUUUUCUGGUAUAAGUACUCUUUAUUUCAUUAUUUGACUCAUUCUUUCAUUUUGUUUUAAUUUGUUGUUUCCCUAAAGGAUAUUCUAUAGACCCCAGUUCUUUGGAAAUUAAUGAGUGAUCAGUGUACAAAAGACUCUAUAGUCAAAUAUGAUUUUAAAAUUCUGUAUUGAAGUUAAGAUAGGUUUAUUCAGAAUGUCUCAGAACAUUUAAUAUGCUAAUGUUCAUCAUGAAUCUCCAGCAAGGAAUCACAGUAUACACUUUUCCCAAACCAAAAACCCAAACCCAGUGCCAUCGAGUCGAUUCCGACUCAUAGCGACCCUACAGGACAGAGUAGAACUGCCCCAUAGAGUUUCCAAGGAGCGCCUGGUGGAUUCAAACUGCCGGCCCUUUGGUUAGCAGCCGUAGCACUUAACCACUAUGUUCCCAAGCUUGUUUAAAAUGGAACUCUUUUUUUAUAGGAAGCAUUCCAAAGGCCCUAUGUUCCAGAAUUCACUUUUGAAAUUCUGUAGGAAUGAAUCUUAGGAUGCACCUUUGGUGGGCCCUUCCAGAAAUAUCAUGUAUCAUCUAAGUUUUGGAAUGAUCUAGGGAACCAUUCAAAAUUGGGAUCAUUUGCAAGUAUCUGAAACAAAGGUGUACUGUGUUUUUCUUUAAGUAGCUUUACAUAUUUUCCAUGUUAGGCGUAAAGGAAGAAAAGCCAGUGUACUUGUUAUACAAGGUAAAAGUCUUGCUUAUACUUUGACCAGGCAGUGACCCAUCUCAGUAUUAGAUGGAGGCAAUUUGGGGGCCAGAGAAGCUGUAGGAGACUUCAGACAAAGCCAGAACAUUCCCAGACUCUCCUUGGAUCUGCUCAGAUGUUCAAACACUUGACCAAAACCCUCUCAUUCUAUAUCAAAAAGCAGUGUCGAGAUAGCCUUGACCUGAGAGAUUUUGACAAUGUUAAUUAAGCUUGCACUUCAUCUUUUAAAAAAAAUAGAACCAAGGAAAGCAAUCACUUCAAUACAGCCACCAUGGAGUGUUUAAUUUUGAAGAAAAUUACAUCCUGAAGGGCCAGUUAGAAUGACUUAACCUGUUAACUAGAAUAAUUUUAUUUUCAUUUACCUGUAUUUUUAAAGAAUGUCUGCAAAAUAAUUCCAGUUUGGCUUUGAUGGAGUUAAUGUUAAAAUAUUCUUUCAACAGCAAUUGAUCAAAAGUUUCAGUUUCUUGAAGUUACAGUUACAAGGAAGUUGUCAGAACAUGUCAUCAUCAUAUUUAAAAAAUCAUUAAAUAGGCAGUAAUUGUAUGUAUGCACUGAAGAAUUGCUCGGCUAAUGAAUCUAGACAAGGCCAUGUAUAAAAUGGACAAGUCCUUAAUUAAAGUUCACAAGUCAACUAACUUACUCAGCAGGUUAGUCUACCAGACCUAGGUAAGGCAUCUUGUUGUUGUUAGGUGCCGUCGAGUCAGUUCCGACUCGUAGUGAUCCUACGCACAACAGAAUGAAACACUGCCCAGUCCUGCGCCAUCCUCACAAAUGUUGCUAUGCUUGAGCCCAUUGUUGCAGUCAUCGUGUCAGUCCAUCUCGUUGAGGGUCUUCCUCUUUUUCGCUAACCCUCUAGACAUCUUGGGGCUGGUCAUUUCCAACAAAAUAUACUCAACCAGCAACCACCUCCAACUCCCAAUACUCAGGUUCAUCAGGACAGUAUAAGGCUUAUACUCAGAGGUACUUUGUCUUUUUAUUUUAAAGAUUUUACAUUGGUUUAUUGACUGAAGAUUUUGUUGUUUUACUACUUCUUAACUGUCCCUUUAGGUCAUGUCAAGAUGCUAUCAAUUGACCUUUAAAACUAAGGAACGUUGUGUAGACAUUGUGCUGGACACCUACAAAUUACACCUUAUCCUUGUCCUUUUCUUCUCAGUGCAUAUUAACCUGCUAUUCUGGUUGAAAACAAAAACAAACAACAUGGACACCAGCAUUUUAAAAUCAGGCAUUUAUUCAUUUUUAUCCCUCAUAGAGACAUUUGGGAGGAAGAGGAAUAUCUCUUUAAAAAUUACUCUUUGAUGCCUAUUCAUGAUAAAAACUCUCAUCAAGGUAGAAAUAGAGGGAAACUUUCACAAUUUUGUAAAGAACAUCUACCAAAAAAAAAAAAAAAACCUAUAGCUAACAUCAUACUUGAUGGUGAGAAACAGAUGCUUUUCCCCAAAGGUUGAAAGACAAGAAUGUCCCCUCUCACCACACCUAUUCAACACUGUAACUGGAAGUCCUAGCUAAUGCAAUUAGACAAGAAAAGGAAAUGAAAGAUACACAGAUUGGGAAGAAAGAAAUAAAACUGUCUUUGUUCACAGGCGAUAUGAUUAUCGAUAUACAAAAUCCAAAAGAAUCUACCAAAAAUUCCUGGAACUAAUAUGAAAUUAUAGCAAGGUUGCAAAAUGCAAAUUAACAUAUAAAAAUCAAGUGUUUUCCUAUAUACCAGCAAAGAACUGGAAUUUGAAAUUAAAAUUACUUCUAGAAGGGGUUGAUCCUUCAUUAAUCAAUCAUGAAAUAUCCCAAAGAGGAUAUAACUAUCAUAUUCUAAAUUUGACCUACCUAGAUACAUAGGUAGAUGCCAAAGAUUAAUUUUAUGUAUUUUAUGAUUUGCUCAGAGAUCAACCUGCUACCUUCAUAAACUCUCCUCUACUAGAGCUCUUUAACAACCAUCAAUUGUCAGAACUCUACAAGAACAACUAUAUAGGGAACUUAGAGGUAGAAAUGGACAAAAGACACCUCUAAAAUUUUCUCUCCAGUCGAGAUGGAGGCCCUGGGAAGCUGCUAUUUUGAAAGAUUCUGGUUGUGGAAACCAAGAGAGCACCCAGUUCAGAGCACCAGGAGCUGUGAAUGAAACAGUGAUUUGUAUUGAGAACUGGAUGUAUUAAAACAGGACAGAAGGGUCCAACACCCAUGAUGAAUAGGAAAAAAGAAUAAAAACAAAAACCGAAAAAGGAAAGCCAAUCUGUGCUUGAUUCUGAGACUAAACCGAGGCUAUGUCAUUGACCUACCUAAUAGAGUGUAGCCUGGAGUCCUACAUCUUUUGCGAAGUGUAUUUUGUACUUUAAUGACUGCCAGGUGCUGCUUUUGAGAAGCCUGACCGCUGAGGAUGUGUGCACAGAGGAAAAAAUGGUAAAAUUAAAAUGGCAUUAUCCCGCAUCUGGUUAAACAUGACAGAUUGUGUUUAUCUCUGUUCCCUCUUAAAAUUCCUAAACAAAUAGUCAAGGAAUAAAAAUUGGAUAAACCCACAAGGACAAUAAAGCCAUAGUAGAAACAAACACAGACAAGAGGUAUCAACAAUUUUAUACGUAAAUGAAUAAGUGGUUACUCCCUUAAGCAAAUGGAGAAAGCUGAAAUCUAAGUGCCUGCAAAGAAGAAAGCAAACAAGCUGGUUACCAGUAUAGGGCUGUAGAAAAAUCCAGAAGCUGGAACGGACAAGUACCUCUGAAGGUAACCGAACCCAUUUCCAUCGAAUCAAUUUCGACUUAUCCCGACCCUAUGUGACAGAAUAGAACUGCCCCAUAGGGUUUCCAAGGCUGUUAUCUUUACGGAAGCAGACUGCCACAUCUUUCUCCCAUGGAGCAGUUGAUGGAUUCAAACAAGAAGUUUACUCUCUGAAGAAAUCGAACCAGAGAAGCCCUGGGCUUGGUGAUACCAGGCACAGUGAAGGGCAGGGGCCACACACCAUACUGAAACCAAGGAGGAAAUUAAGUGGAAGUCUGGAUACUUAAGAGUGAGAUCCUCUCCCCAUUUCCCUUCACUCUGGGAAUUCUGGCAGCAAAGAGAAAACAUUUUAACAUGCUGACAUCCAAGAUCCCCUCAGAUGGCUGAUACCUGAUCAUCCUGCAGUGAAAUCUGCCGUAAAGCACACGCACAGAGUUUCCGUUGGCUUUCCACUCUUAAAUGUGACUGUGUAGCCAUUGGCCCCCAGACGUUUAAGGAAGGCAUCUAGCACAAAAGGCCAAGGCCAAAACAAAUGGGGGAAGAGGGAAAAUUAGAGGUAACAGGUACCGUGCAGAGAGCGGUUUAAAAAAUAAAACCACAAUUCCCGUCCUCAGAGAGAAAGAACGAGAUGUUGCGUUUGUAAAACAAGAGCAACAUGCUUUAAAAAGGACUAGCCAGAGAACAAGGACAAGCUCUUGGAAACUGAAAACAUGAUAGCCGAAAUGAAAGAUUCUGUAUCAGGCCUGGAAGAUGGUGUUUAGAACAUUCAUUCAUUCAAGAAAUAUUACUGAGUGGCUACUGUGCCCUUGGCAUUGUUCUAGGUAGUGGAGAUGUAUCAGUGAGCAAAAGAGAUAUCCCAGGCCUGUUGUUGUUAGUUGGUGGUGGGUGGAUUCCGACGGUGACACCAUGUAUGCAGAGUAGAAUUACUCCAUAGGAUUUUCAAGGCUGUGGCCUUUCAGAAGCAGACUGCUAGGCCUGUCUUCUGAGGCACUUCUGGGUGGGUUUGACCGCCAACCUUCCAAUUAGCAGCCUAGCACUUAACCACUGCAUCACCAGAUAAACAGAAAC